rnacentral:rRNA from 1 species
GACGAACGCUGGCGGCGUGCUUAACACAUGCAAGUCGAACGGAAAGGCCCUGCUUUUGUGGGGUGCUCGUGUGGCGAACGGGUGAGUAACACGUGAGUAACCUGCCCUUGACUUUGGGAUAACUUCAGGGAACUGGGGAUAAUACCGGGGAGGAGCUCCUGCUGCGUGGGGGGGGAUGGAAAGUUUCGGCGGUUGGGGAUGGAAUCGCGGCUUAUCAGCUUGUUGGUGGGGUAGUGGCUUACCAAGGCUAUGAAGGGUAGCCGGCCUGAGAGCGUGACCGGCCACCUUGGUCCUGAGAUACGGCCCAGUCUCCUACGGGAGGCAGAAGUCGGGAAUAUUGCACAAUGGGCGGACGCCUGAUGCAGCAACGCCGCGUGCGGGAUGACGUCCUUCUGGUUGUAAACCGCUUUCGCCUUUGACGAAGCGUGAGUGACGGUAAUGGGUAAAGAAGCACCGGCUAACUACGUG